AGAGUUUGAUCAUGGCUCAGAACGAACGCUGGCGGCGUGGAUAAGACAUGCAAGUCGAGCGCUGAUUACAGGGUAGCAAUAUUCUGUAGUCGGAGCGGCGCAAGGGUGCGUAACACGUGGGUAAUCUGCCAUGAAGUUUGGGAUAACUUGCUGAAAGGCGAGCUAAUACCGGAUGUGAAAAUUGGAAGGCAUCUUUUGAUUUUCAAAGCUGGGGACCGUAAGGCCUGGCGCUUCAUGAUGAGCCCGCGGCCUAUCAGCUAGUUGGUAAGGUAACGGCUUACCAAGGCUAAGACGGGUAGCUGGUCUGAGAGGACGACCAGCCACACUGGAACUGAGACACGGUCCAGACACCUACGGGUGGCAGCAGUCGAGAAUUUUUCACAAUGGGCGCAAGCCUGAUGGAGCGACGCCGCGUGGGGGAUGAAUGGCUUCGGCCCGUAAACCCCUGUCAUUUGCGAUCAAACCUUGUUAUUUAAAAGAUGACGAGCUGAUAGUAGCGAAAGAGGAAGGGACGGCUAACUCUGUGCCAGCAGCCGCGGUAAUACAGAGGUCCCGAGCGUUGUUCGGAUUCACUGGGCGUAAAGGGUGCGUAGGUGGCGAGGUAAGUCGGAUGUGAAAGCUCGGAGCUCAACUCCGAAAUGGCAUUGGAAACUACCUUGCUCGAGGGUCGGAGGGGGGACUGGAAUACUUGGUGUAGCAGUGAAAUGCGUAGAUAUCAAGUGGAACACCAGUGGCGAAGGCGAGUCCCUGGACGACUCCUGACACUGAGGCACGAAAGCUAGGGGAGCAAACAGGAUUAGAUACCCUAGUAGUCC
rnacentral:rRNA from 1 species